CCGACUUUAGCUCAGUUGGAAGAGCAUGAGACUGUAAUUGGCUAACUCUAUCUCAGGGUCCUGCGUUCGAUCCGCAGAAGUCGGA